rnacentral:rRNA from 1 species
AGUGAACGCUGGCGGUAGGCCUAACACAUGCAAGUCGAACGGCAGCACAGUAAGAGCUUGCUCUUACGGGUGGCGAGUGGCGGACGGGUGGGGAAUACAUCGGAAUCUACUUUUGCGUGGGGGAUAACGUAGGGAAACUUACGCUAAUACCGCAUACGACCUACGGGUGAAAGCAGGGGAUCUUCGGACCUUGCGCGAUUGAAUGAGCCGAUGUCGGAUUAGCUAGUUGGCGGGGUAAAGGCCCACCAAGGCGACGAUCCGUAGCUGGUCUGAGAGGAUGAUCAGCCACACUGGAACUGAGACACGGUCCAGACUCCUACGGGAGGCAGCAGUGGGGAAUAUUGGACAAUGGGCGCAAGCCUGAUCCAGCCAUACCGCGUGGGUGAAGAAGGCCUUCGGGUUGUAAAGCCCUUUUGUUGGGAAAGAAAAGCAGCAGGUUAAUACCCCGCUGUUCUGACGGUACCCAAAGAAUAAGCACCGGCUAACUUCGUG